rfam:Schistosoma haematobium scaffold17_23, whole genome shotgun sequence.
GCACUGCUGAGAAGUCCCAAAAUAGGACGAAACGGUCGUCCUGUGU